rnacentral:lncRNA from 10 species
GCAGAAUAUGAAGGAAGAAAUAUGUCUUCCUUGGCCACUUUCGCUGCUUAAGGUAGGCAUUGGACUCACAAUCAUUUAAUCAUCACACAGAGCAGUUUCUUAAACACAUACUCUUCUUUUGGAUAAAAAACUCAGAGAAAUGGUCAUGCCACAUAGACAAACAUGUCUAUUGGUGUUAGGAUAAGAGUUUUUUUCCCUGUGGAUUAUUUUAGCUGUAGGCUACUCAUGAAUUCCCCUCCAUUCUUGCCCCAGAGCUCUCCUACUUUUGAAUGAAUAGUGAAGGUUUAACAAUUACCUGUUCACUGUUGCCUCAGUCCCUCAAAAAUAAUUUUGUAGGACAUUAAAAUAACAUAAGUAUUUACAAAUCGGCUUCUAUUAAAGUGUUUUGACACUACUCUUUUUUUUUCUGGGAACAAAUACUUUUUAAUGGGUUUAAAAUUUUUUUGUUUGUUUUGUUUUGCUUUUACAAAUAUACUGGAGAAUCACGCAAUGCUGCCAGCAUCGGACACAAUCCGGGGGCCACAAGUCUGCACACUCCUUUGCUACUGGUCCUGUAAUGGCAGAACCUUUCAUCUGGCCUUUAUUGCCCACUAUGACCACUGCAUUAUCUUCAAAAGAAAGAAACACGCCAUCUUUUCUCUGCCAUCCCCAUGUCACCCACACCAGCAGCGGGAAGUCUGUUCAGCCGUCCCUUGAUCCCCUUCACGGAGAUGAUAUACAGGUUUUUGGCUCCUGUGUUGUCAGCACAGUUGAUCACAGCUCCUACCGGAAGACCCACAGAAAUCCGGAAGUUCACACCAGAGGACCCACCACGUCCUCGCUUCCACAUCUUGAACGCUGGAAAGAAGGAAAAAGGACAUAGAUUUUGACUCUAUUCUUAAACAAAUUAUAGGCAAAUUUAUCCUGUUUUUAAAAAAAGAAUAGAGUUCUCACCUCUACGAUCAGCAACUCCACAUAUUCAGAACUUUGAAUAUCUUUGCCAAUUUGUUAAAGUAUAAGCACCAGAAAUAGGCUCAUGAGAAAAAAAGUAUGUGGCUAGUAACGAGUCUAGUAAUAUUCUUUAAAAAUUCAAAACUACGGUAUUCUCUAGUACUGAAUAUUUGCAACAUGUUCAUGAAAAAAAGACUUAUACAAUCUAAUAUGAUUAAAACUCACUUCAAG